UACGGAGGGGGGCGAGCGUUUAUUCGGAAUUAUUGGGCGUAAAGGGCGCGUAGGCGGUCCGACAAGUCAAAGGUGAAAUCCCUCGGCUCAACUGAGGAACUGCCUUUGAAACUGUCGGACUUUGAGUCCGGGAGAGGGUAGUGGAAUUCCCAAUGUAGCGGUGAAAAUGCGUAGAUAUUGGGGAGGAACACCAGUGGCGAAGGCGGCUACCCUGGACCGGAACUGACGCUGAUGCGCGAAAACGUGGGGUA
rnacentral:rRNA from 1 species